AGAGUUUGAUCCUGGCUCAGAUUGAACGCUGGCGGCAUGCCUUACGCAUGCAAGUCGAACGGCAGCACGGAGCUUGCUCUGGUGGCGAGUGGCGAACGGGUGAGUAAUAUAUCGGAACGUACCCUAGAGUGGGGGAUAACGUAGCGAAAGUUACGCUAAUACCGCAUACGAUCUACGGAUGAAAGUGGGGGAUCGCAAGACCUCAUGCUCAUGGAGCGGCCGAUAUCUGAUUAGCUAGUUGGUAGGGUAAAAGCCUACCAAGGCAUCGAUCAGUAGCUGGUCUGAGAGGACGACCAGCCACACUGGAACUGAGACACGGUCCAGACUCCUACGGGAGGCAGCAGUGGGGAAUUUUGGACAAUGGGCGAAAGCCUGAUCCAGCAAUGCCGCGUGAGUGAAGAAGGCCUUCGGGUUGUAAAGCUCUUUUGUCAGGGAAGAAACGGUUGUCUCUAAUACAGAUGGCUAAUGACGGUACCUGAAGAAUAAGCACCGGCUAACUACGUGCCAGCAGCCGCGGUAAUACGUAGGGUGCAAGCGUUAAUCGGAAUUACUGGGCGUAAAGCGUGCGCAGGCGGUUAUGUAAGACAGAUGUGAAAUGCCCGGGCUUAACCUGGGAACUGCAUUUGUGACUGCAUGGC
rnacentral:rRNA from 1 species